AAAUUUCACAUAAGUAUUAAGGGAUCAAAAAUGCCAAAUCACAAUUCUAUCAUAACAAUCCUAUUGAAAUGGUAUCUUUGUUCAGCCUGUUGGUCUCCUACUAUAAAUUAAAAAAUUUAAACGUUAUUUGAUGUUUUUCUUUCGUCUUCCUAAAACAUGCUCUAAUAUGUGUCCCAAAUAUGAGACCCAAUAAAGUCUCCGACUGUACUUCAAUGUUUGAGCCGUACCUCACUGCUCAAGUCUCCCGACUAAUUUUCAGCUAACAAGUCUCUCGAUUCAGAAUUAGCGAUCAACAAUUCACAUCGUUAGCCCUUAAUGAAAUAAAAGUCAUUCCAAACUGCGUCAACCUCACAAAAUUUCACCCACUAUGGACUGAAUAAACAAAGCCAGCAACAUAUGCACGGAAUGAGCGCACAGUUCAUCGCUUAGUGCUG
rnacentral:lncRNA from 1 species